rnacentral:rRNA from 1 species
GACGAACGCUGGCGGCGUGCUUAACACAUGCCAGUCGAACGGAAAGGCCCUGCUUGCAGGGUACUCGAGUGGCGAACGGGUGAGUAACACGUGGGUGAUCUGCCCUGCACUUCGGGAUAAGCCUGGGAAACUGGGUCUAAUACCGGAUAGGAGCCAUUUUUAGUGUGAUGGUUGGAAAGUUUUUUCGGUGUAGGAUGAGCUCGCGGCCUAUCAGCUUGGUGGUGGGGUAAUGGCCUACCAAGGCGGCGACGGGUAGCCGGCCUGAGAGGGUGGACGGCCACAGUGGGACUGAGAUACGGCCCAGACUCCUACGGGAGGCAGCAGUGGGGAAUAUUGCACAAUGGGCGCAAGCCUGAUGCAGCGACGCCGCGUGGGGGAUGACGGCCUUCGGGUUGUAAACUCCUUUCGCUAGGGACGAAGCUUUUUGUGACGGUACCUAGAUAAGAAGCACCGGCUAACUACGUG